GUUGUCAAAAUUUCAAAUCUCGCAACCGUUUAUUGUUCAUCAUUAUCCAAACUCCAUUCAAAUUAAAUGGUUAUCUUCUUCAAACGAUACGGGCGAAGAUUGAGGUAUUACUUCCUCUUAACUAACCGUAAUAACUUUGACCCCGAAUUCGAACUCCUCACAUAAAUUUCUACCUUAUUUCUCCGCGAUAACCCACCGCACAACCCGUAGCACCACCAUCGGCCGCCGCGAAUCAGGUAAGAGCCAAGUUUCACAUAUGAUGGUCGUUGACGUCGCCUCCGCACCGCCCAUCGUAUUCCGUCGUAACCAACUUUGUUCGUCGGAACUUCCCAUCUUACCAACGGGUCCGUCACUUUAGUUCUCCGAUCAAGACCAGGCUGCAACCAUUGCUACUGUUCGACUUGUUUCCGUUCGAAUUGUUAGAGAACUUUUAUUGUUUAUUUACGGCGGCUCAGUUCGUAAACUAAGGUUUGCGUACUUUUGGGAACGACUUGACGUUUGUGUUGCUUUGUUUGCUAAUAAGGUAAUCAAGGGAAACGGGGAUGAGUGAGAGGAAACAUGAAGUUUAAGGAGUUUUUGAAAUUUCAGUGUUUAUUUAUUUUCAGUAAUUAAAUAAAUUAAGACUUAGGUUUUCUGGUGGAUUCGAGACUUUUGUUUCUAUCGUUUAUUGAAACUCUUUGGUUUUUGAUAUCUGUAAUAGUGACAUGCCAGCCUGUUCCAGGUUGGGGUGUUACACAAACAGUCUCUGCUGUCUUAUUGCAUUCCAAAACAGUGCAGUGGAGACCGGAAGCAGAUUGUUUCUGAAGAGCAAGUGAGUAUUUGUUCUAGAACAUGCCUACGCGGGUGUCAAAGCCCUUUGGAAACAAUAUACUUACUACCUCCAGCCUCGUCGCAAGUAUCCAAAUGGGAUUCAUGGGGAAGUUAGUACUUGUUUAAACGGUGGUAUCAAGAACAGUGGUCACAUUUCAUGAUUACCCACAAAAAUGUUUUGAAGAAAGCUUUGAUCUUGAUCACAAAAGAAAAGCUUUCAUUAUCAUCAUAAUCUGAACCAGAUGAAAAUCAACAUAGGGCGAUGAUGUGAAGAGUUGUUUGAAAUAUUUAGUAUGUUACCAAACACUUGAGAGUUGAAUUGAUCUAGAAAUUUCUGGAAACAGUUCACAGAGAUCAUCAAGGUCUACUCCAAGGUCAACAAGUGGAUAUACCUUCUUAACUAACAAUAUCAACGGACCAAUCUGGCAAUCCUUUCAAGCGGUAAAUAACUAAAUAUUUACACUACAUUUUCUCUCAUCAAGAUCAAGUAGAAAAGACUACGGAGCCUGAUCUAGACCUAACAAUGACAUUAAAGUCCUUCAAUAUGCAAACGGCUUGAAACCUGGUAAUACUAAAUAAGGAAAUAUAUGUCAACAGGUUCAUGGUCUAAUUCAAACUAUAGAUACUCUAAAUGAACCUUCACUGAAAUGAAAUCGUUCAUGGUUGAAUUUAGCUCCGAUAUGCUGCUAUACUCACUUUUAAUUCAUUCUUUACAAGUUGUAUAAAACACUAGAUUUGAUCAUUCAGUUUAAAUAAACUACUA
rnacentral:lncRNA from 1 species